UACCUGGUUGAUCCUGCCAGUAGUCAUAUGCUUGUCUCAAAGAUUAAGCCAUGCACGUGUCAGAAUAAGUUUUAAAACAACGAAUCUGCGAAUGGCUCAUUAAAACAGUUAUAGUUUACUUGAUGGUCACACGUUAUAUGGAUAACUGUGGUAAUUCUAGAGCUAAUACAUGCAUAAAGGCCCGACUUCUGGGAAGGGCUGUAUUUAUUAGAUACAGAACCAAUCGCUUCGGCGUAUUUGGAUGAUUCAUAAUAAAUGAACGGAGCGCAUGACUUGUGUCGGCGCUGUUUCAUUCAAGUUUCUGACCUAUCAGCUUCCGACGGUAGGGUAUUGGCCUACCGUGGCAUUGACGGGUAACGGAGAAUUAGGGUUCGAUUCCGGAGAGGGAGCCUUAAAAACGGCUACCACAUCUAAGGAAGGCAGCAGGCGCGCAAAUUACCCAAUCCUGAUACAGGGAGGUAGUGACAAGAAAUAACACAGAGAGUGGCUAUGCCAUUUCUCUUUGGAAUGAGUAGAAUUUAAAUCUCUUUUCGACUAUCAAUUGGAGGGCAAGUCUGGUGCCAGCAGCCGCGGUAAUUCCAGCUCCAAUAGC
rnacentral:rRNA from 1 species